CCUACGGGUGGCAGCAGUGGGGAAUAUUGGACAAUGGGGGGAACCCUGAUCCAGCCAUGCCGCGUGUGUGAAGAAGGCCCUCGGGUUGUAAAGCACUUUCAGUGAGGAAGAACGCCUGGUGGUUAAUACCCAUCAGGAAAGACAUCACUCACAGAAGAAGCACCGGCUAACUCCGUGCCAGCAGCCGCGGUAAUACGGAGGGUGCGAGCGUUAAUCGGAAUUACUGGGCGUAAAGCGCGCGUAGGUGGCUUGAUAAGUCGGUUGUGAAAGCCCCGGGCUCAACCUGGGAACGGCAUCCGGAACUGUCAAGCUAGAGUGCAGGAGAGGAAGGUAGAAUUCCCGGUGUAGCGGUGAAAUGCGUAGAGAUCGGGAGGAAUACCAGUGGCGAAGGCGGCCUUCUGGACUGACACUGACACUGAGGUGCGAAAGCGUGGGUAGCAAACAGGAUUAGAUACCCCAGUAGUC
rnacentral:rRNA from 1 species